CUUUCUCUCUCUCUCACUCUCUCUCUCUCUCCUCUCUCAUUCCCUCUUCACACUUAGGAAAGGCGAUAUGAGCACAUAGCUAGAAGUUGGCCAGGAAGAGAGAUCUCACCAGAAGCUAACCAUGCUGGCAUCCUGAUCUCAGAUUUUCAGCCUUCAGAACUGUGCAUGUGGAUGUAACCAGACUCCAAAGGAUUGUAUAACAACAUAGCCUACCUCAUUGACUCAGUACCUGCAAGGAAGCUACCCACCAACCUUCAUAUCCACACCCUACUCCCUCUCACAGUGACUAAUGCAUGACUUUGCACAUGAAGUUACUUGAUAACCGAAACACAGAAGAGAUCAGAUUAAAAGGAAAAGAUGCCCACCCCAUUAUGGAUAUAAAGCAGGAAGAAGGCAUAAACAUGCCCCUGCCUUCCUCGUUCUCAUACUGCCACCUAACACAGGGACACUUUGCCAUGCUUUGGCUACUCUGAAGGGACAAAGGGAAGACAAGGAGAAUAUCCUUAGAUGGAUGUGGAAACCAACAGAGAAUAAGAAGACCCUUUCGGAAAUGAGUUAACAUAUCAUUAUCAUCUCUGCCAAUUAGCAUUUAUUGGGCAACUGGGCACUUGGAACUUCAAGAAUCUCCACAGAGACCCCAUACUCUGAUCCAUCUGAGAAAGACUACAACUCUGACCACAAAUGCCAGCAGCAGACAACAUCAUGAUGCCCAGGAAAGGGACCAGGCUAGCCACAUCCCAAACUUAUCAAGCCAGCCAUUUUGUAAUUUGGUCGGAGG